rnacentral:tRNA from 1 species
GGCUUGUGGCUAAGUGGUAGAGUGCUUGCCUAGCAUGUGUGCGGCACUGAGUUCAAGUCUCAGCACCA